rnacentral:rRNA from 1 species
GAUGAACGCUGGCGGCGUGCCUAAUACAUGCAAGUCGAGCGAACAGACGAGGAGCUUGCUCCUCUGACGUUAGCGGCGGACGGGUGAGUAACACGUGGAUAACCUACCUAUAAGACUGGGAUAACUUUGGGAAACCGGAGCUAAUACCGGAUAAUAUAUUGAACCGCAUGGUUCAAUAGUGAAAGACGGUUUUGCUGUCACUUGUAGAUGGAUCCGCGCCGCAUUAGCUAGUUGGUAAGGUAACGGCUUACCAAGGCGACGAUGCGUAGCCGACCUGAGAGGGUGAUCGGCCACACUGGAACUGAGACACGGUCCAGACUCCUACGGGAGGCAGCAGUAGGGAAUCUUCCGCAAUGGGCGAAAGCCUGACGGAGCAACGCCGCGUGAGUGAUGAAGGUCUUCGGAUCGUAAAACUCUGUUAUUAGGGAAGAACAAAUGUGUAAGUAACUAUGCACGUCUUGACGGUACCUAAUCAGAAAGCCACGGCUAACUACGUG